UACGAAGGGGGCUAGCGUUGCUCGGAAUCACUGGGCGUAAAGGGUGCGUAGGCGGGUCUUUAAGUCAGGGGUGAAAUCCUGGAGCUCAACUCCAGAACUGCCUUUGAUACUGAAGAUCUUGAGUUCGGGAGAGGUGAGUGGAACUGCGAGUGUAGAGGUGAAAUUCGUAGAUAUUCGCAAGAACACCAGUGGCGAAGGCGGCUCACUGGCCCGGUACUGACGCUGAGGCACGAAAGCGUGGGGA
rnacentral:rRNA from 1 species